GAAACUAACAAGGAUUCCCCUAGUAACGGCGAGCGAAGCGGGAAGAGCUCAAAUUUGAAAUCUGGUGGCCUCAGGUCAUCCGAGUUGUAAUCUAUAGAAGUGUUUUCCGUGCUGGCCCAUGUACAAGUCCCUUGGAACAGGGCGUCAUAGAGGGUGAGAAUCCCGUCCUUGACAUGGACUACCAGUGCUCUGUGAUACACUUUCAACGAGUCGAGUUGUUUGGGAAUGCAGCUCAAAAUGGGUGGUAAAUUCCAUCUAAAGCUAAAUAUUGGCGAGAGACCGAUAGCGAACAAGUACCGUGAGGGAAAGAUGAAAAGCACUUUGGAAAGAGAGUUAAACAGUAUGUGAAAUUGUUGAAAGGGAAACGAUUGAAGUCAGUCGUGCUCAAUGGACUCAGCCGUUCUGCGGUGUAUUUCCAUUGGGUGGGGUCAACAUCAGUUUUGAUCGCUGGAUAAAGGCAGGAGGAAUGUAGCACCCCCGGGUGAACUUAUAGCCUCUUGUCACAUACAGUGGUUGGGACUGAGGAACGCAGCAUGCCUUUAUGGCCGGGAUUCGUCCA
rnacentral:rRNA from 1 species